UGGGGAAUUUUGGACAAUGGGGGCAACCCUGAUCCAGCAAUGCCGCGUGAGUGAAGAAGGCCUUCGGGUUGUAAAGCUCUUUUGUCAGGGAAGAAACGGUAGUAGCGAAUAACUACUACUAAUGACGGUACCUGAAGAAUAAGCACCGGCUAACUACGUGCCAGCAGCCGCGGUAAUACGUAGGGUGCAAGCGUUAAUCGGAAUUACUGGGCGUAAAGCGUGCGCAGGCGGUUGUGUAAGUCAGAUGUGAAAUCCCCGGGCUCAACCUGGGAAUUGCAUUUGAGACUGCACGGCUAGAGUGUGUCAGAGGGGGGUAGAAUUCCACGUGUAGCAGUGAAAUGCGUAGAUAUGUGGAGGAAUACCGAUGGCGAAGGCAGCCCCCUGGGAUAACACUGACGCUCAUGCACGAAAGCGUGGGGAGCAAACAGGAUUAGAUACCCCGGUAGUCCCUGAGCGGGCUGGCAAGGCGCAU
rnacentral:rRNA from 1 species